GUGGUUUCCUUGUCUACCUAAAUAUUUUAUAGAUUUAACAACUUAAGUAUAUGGUAUGGUUCUAUCUUAGCUAUUCUUUUUCCAAUAUUUACAAGGUUAUGGAGUCAAUAACUCUGUUUGUUUUGAAUAUUUCUUUUGCUUUUAAGAUAAACCUUUAUCCAUUCCUUUGCCCAUUGUUAAACUUGGAUAAAUAUAUCUUGGAUAUCAUGGAAAUAGUAUUUAAGUACUCCUAGUAGAUUAAUCCUCAUAUCAUGCCUUUUUAUUUUUGAUUUUUGUGAUAUUCUCUUUGCUUUAUCAGGUGAAUAUUUAUAUACUCCUUUACUUAUUUAUUGGUCUUUUCUAAAAAUGCUAGAUAGUACUAUUAUAUACAUGUUGUCUUUGGUUCUUUGAUGUUAUUAGAGUAUUGCGCUUACUGAGAUUACUUUGUAUGAAUUGCUUUGACAAAUGAGGGAGGCUGCUUAUUCAAAAUUUUAUCUUGCUACUGAGUUUUUUGUUUCAGCUAUUGUGUCUUUUAAAAAGCAGGUUGAAUAACAAACAAAUUUUGAUCCAUCUGUUGAGAUGUUGAUCCGUUUACUUUGUGUUAUUCCUGGCUGGAAUGAGAAAAAUGUUCAGGUCCAGCAACAAGUUAUUGAUAUUGUCACUCACAUUGCUGCGACAGCAUCAAAGUUUCCUAAAGAUGUGUGUUGUGCUUUGCCUUUCAGGUAUCACUCAUAGAGUAGCUGACGUAAAGACUCGUGUUCAGGCCAUGAAGUGUCUUUCCACUUAUUGUGAAGAUGUGGGUCUUGGUUUUAUUUUUGAGAGGUCAUGCUUAAACAUGAAAUCUAAUGAGGCUAUUGCCUUGGUAUGCGGCCUUGGUGUAACCUCAGAUGAGAUUUCCUCGUGCCCUACGCAGAGGAGCGCCUUAGUAAAACCAUGAUAUUGGUAUUUGGUUGCAUUGGGGUCGCUCAAAAGAGGUAUUUCUGUCUGAUGUUAAAAACCUGCUUUACUACGAGGCAUCUGCAAUUCCAAAGAAGGUUGUUAAAGUAACUUAUUCUACAUCAUCUGCGGUGACUGGCAUGGAUCGUCUUCCACGUGAAGAUAUAGUGAAAUGAUCACUCCCACUUUGUUUUAGAGAGUUCUGAUUGGAAGGUCCGCUUGGAAUCUAUUGAAAGCUUAACCAAAAUUCUAGAAGAGGUGAACAAACUUAUUCUGCUCGCUGGAACUGGUGCGCUAGUCGAAAAUCUGAAAUAACUAAGGCUCAAAUUUUGUAUAUUGAGUAUAUAAUUAUCUACAUGAUUGUUAUUUCAAAAUGAUUGUUAUUUCAAAAUCAGAAAUAGUGAUUAGUAACG